ACUUCCGGGUCGGCGCGGAGGCGGGGCGGAGGCGCCGCGGUGGCUGUUAUUGUUCAGCUGGGCUCCGCUGGGCGCUGUCUCCCUUGGCUCAGAGGGUGUCAAUUUGUCCCGCUUCCUCUCGGCCCCUCACUCCCGGAGGCUGACGACGACGGCGGCGGCUGCGGCGGGCGGGGCCUGGCGUUUCGAGGCCGAGCGGCGCCGGGGUGAGGGGCGCGGAGGAGGAGGAGGAGCAGAAGCAGGAGGAGGAGCCGCGUGCCCUGGCACCGAGCGGCCCCGGCCAUGGCGUACGCCUAUCUUUUCAAGUACAUUAUCAUCGGCGACACAGGUGUUGGUAAAUCAUGCUUAUUGCUACAGUUUACAGACAAGAGGUUUCAGCCAGUACAUGAUCUUACUAUUGGUGUAGAGUUCGGUGCUCGAAUGAUAACCAUUGAUGGGAAACAGAUAAAACUUCAGAUUUGGGAUACAGCAGGGCAAGAGUCCUUUCGUUCCAUCACAAGGUCAUAUUACAGAGGUGCAGCAGGGGCUUUGCUAGUGUAUGAUAUUACAAGAAGAGACACAUUCAACCACUUGACAACCUGGUUAGAAGAUGCCCGCCAGCAUUCCAAUUCCAACAUGGUCAUUAUGCUUAUUGGAAAUAAAAGUGAUUUAGAAUCUAGAAGAGAAGUAAAAAAAGAAGAAGGUGAAGCUUUUGCACGAGAACAUGGACUUAUCUUCAUGGAAACUUCGGCUAAGACUGCUUCUAAUGUAGAAGAGGCAUUUAUUAAUACAGCAAAAGAAAUUUAUGAAAAAAUCCAAGAAGGAGUCUUUGACAUUAAUAAUGAGGCAAAUGGCAUUAAAAUUGGCCCUCAGCAUGCUGCUACUAACGCCACGCACGCAGGCAGUCAGGGAGGACAGCAGGCCGGGGGAGGCUGCUGUUGAGUCUGUUUUUACUGUCUCGCUGCCCAGAAGGGGCUACUCACCUAUUCUUUCACCCUCCUGCUCAGCUGAGACAUGAAACUCUUCGAAAUGGCUUUAUGUCACAGAAGAAGACUUUAAUCCUUCAAAUUCUUGUAUAACUUUGAAUAAAUGGUUAAUGUUCACUUAAAAAGACAGAUUUUGGAGAUUGUAUUCAUAUCUAUUUGCAUUUGAUUUCUAGGUCAAUUGACGUGAUUAUUUUUGUUAAAUGUUGUCUUGUGCCCUUACCUACGAACUGAAUUGUAUUGAACACUACAGAGUCAUCUUGAGUAUUUUAAAUCGGUUUGUGUAGUUAGGUUUCCCCACACCUGUGGUUACCUAAUGUUUAAUAUUAUAGAACUGUCCUCAAAAGUUUGUCAAUUUUCAAGGCUAUAAGGAAAACCGAAGGACUCUUUUAAUUCUGUAUUUAUCAUUUACUUUCUGUAUAUAUAGUUUAUAACCUGCUUGGGUGUAAUUUGCCAAGCUUGAAUUCUUUAAUGCAUUUGCAUAAAUUCUAUACUGUUUAGAGCUUAAAGCUACAGAAGCAUCGUUAGGAAUUGCUUGGACACUGAAUUUUAAACUUUUUGACAUUGUUAACAAGCAUGUUCAUCUUUUUCUUGUCACUAGUCCGAGAGAAAUAUGCUUAAUGUACAUUCUAAAGGCUUUGUGUGUGUUAACCUGUUUUAAUGCCAAAAGUUUGUUAUUUGUCCACAGUUUCUUUAAGACCUCUUCAGAAAAGGAUUUGUUUGCCUUAAUGCAGACUGUUGGGUAAAAACACAGUAUAAUGAGUGAGGUGGGCGGAAGAAAGGACUCCCUCUGCCUGAGCGACUCCAGGAGGAAUGAGUGUCCACAUUUAGACGGCACAUUAUGAGGACUUUAAUCUUUCCUUGAACACAAUAAUGUUUUCUUUUUCUUUUAUUCACAUGAUUUCUAAAUAUAUUUUUCACGCAGGACAGUUUUUCAACCCUUGAUGUACAGUGACUGUGUAAAAUUUUUCUUUCCGUGGCAACCUAUAAUCUUUAAAAUAUGCUUUCUACCCGUCUUUCCUGAAGAUUCAGCAGUGCUCUGUCAAAGCUUUGACAUUACUCCUGUGGGAAGUCACCCAAUGCUAUCUGAGUUUUUUGCUUUAACUAGCUCCUAGAGGACAGAGAGAAAGAGCACAGGCUCCAGACGCGCAGGCUCAGCGGCCAUGGCUCACGGGCCCAGCCGCUCUGCGGUAUGUGGGAUCUUCCCGGACCGGGGCACGAACCCACGUCCCCUGCAUCGGCAGGUGAACUCUCAACCACUGCGCCACCAGGGAAGCCCUGGUAACUGUUACUUUUAAACUGCUGUUAAUUUUUCCAGAAACUUAAUGUGUCUCUUUUCCACGCUGUCUCCUCUAAUUCUUUUAUAAAUCAAGUGUAAGAAGAGAAAGUCAUGGGGAAAACAAACAACAACAAAGCACAUGUAUUUUAAUAACCUAAGAAGAGCUGGAGCCCUCAAAUGCAGCCCCUGCACAGUAGCCUUAACCUGCCUCGGCCUUGGGCCACAGGGGCGGGUAGAGGACUUCUCCGUAGUUGUCACCACUUUCUCUACAAGUUUCAUCUGCCAUUAAGGAACAUAUGUGAUGAAUCCUUUAUGUCAGUCGACAAAACAGUGUUACCGUCUGGUUUCUACUCUGCUGUUUUAUUAUCCUUGUCACAAAUAAUGUAAUAGUGGCACCUGGAACUAAACGCUUUAAUACUGUAAUUAAGUCUUUAAAUGAUCUUUGGUCAAUUUUGGUAGCACCUAUGGACAUGUUUUAAGAGCUAGAAAAUCAGUCACAAAAAAUAAAACUUUUAAUGUCUCAACAUGUAA